AACAAAAUGCCUGAUUAAAGGAUUAUUUUGAUAGAAUAAAUUAUGUAAUUUUUUUUACUUUUGUUA
rnacentral:tRNA from 1 species